rnacentral:rRNA from 1 species
GAGGAAGGUGGGGAUGACGUCAAGUCCUCAUGGCCCUUACGCGUAGGGCUACACACGUGCUACAAUGGAGAGUACAGAGGGUUGCGAACCAGUGAUGGUAAGCCAAUCUCAAAAAGCUCUUCUCAGUUCGGAUUGAAGUCUGCAACUCGACUUCAUGAAGCUGGAAUCGCUAGUAAUCGCGUAUCAGCAAUGACGCGGUGAAUACGUUCCCGGACCUUGUACACACCGCCCGUCAAGCCAUGGAAGUUGGGUAUACCUGAAGAUGGUUGCUGCAAAGCGCUGUUUAGGGUAGAACCAGUAACUGGGGCUAAGUCGGAACAAGGUAGCCGUACCGGAAGGUGUGGCUGGAACACC